UACGUAGGGUGCAAGCGUUGUCCGGAAUUAUUGGGCGUAAAGAGCUCGUAGGCGGUUUGUCGCGUCUGCUGUGAAAACUCGGGGCUUAACUCCGGGCCUGCAGUGGGUACGGGCAGACUAGAGUGCGGUAGGGGAGACUGGAAUUCCUGGUGUAGCGGUGAAAUGCGUAGAUAUCGGGAGGAACACCAGUGGCGAAGGCGACUACCUGGCCUGUUUCUUGACGCUGAGGCGCGAAAGCUAGGGGAGCAAACGGG
rnacentral:rRNA from 1 species